AUGGCAUCUCUCUCUUCUCUCUCUUCCUCCAUUACUUUUCAUCGUUACCAACUGACCAAAUUGACCGAAAUCAUAGAGGAGAAAAAUACUAUUCAUCAUCUCCCUCUCUUCAAAACACAGCGGCGGAACUAUGAGAUCUCUCCCCUCUCCGAUUUCUCUUUAUUUCUCACUCCCUCUUUCUUCCUUUCAUCCUCUUCUUCCCUUUUUGUUCUUCUUCUCCCUCCAGGUUCCCUUCCUCUGUUCCUCCCCUCGAUUUCCGAUGCAACUGUUAGCAAUGAUGAUCUUUCUCCAAUUCUCUCUCUCUCAUUCUCCCGGAUCAACCUAAUCCACCGAUCGCCUAGAUCACCGAAAAGAUAGUUGUUCAUCUUUCUCUUCGUCUCAACAGAGGCGGCAAGCAGCGAUAGACUCCUCCCCUCUCCGAUCUCUCUCUUGCUAUCUCGUUUCCUUUCCUCCACUUUGCUUUUCUCAUUCCCCCAUCGUCUCUAUCUCAUUUCUCGUGCCCUCCUCUAUUUUGUUGCUAGAGCUAAACAAGCUAGGACAUCAUAUUCAAACCAAUGAUGAAGGAUCCUAUCCCGUUUGUAUGAUAUAGUUAGAAGCCCCACUUACAUCAAUCAACGUCGAAGUAAGAGACCUAGAAUACCAUCGUCGGCACAAGAACAUUCAAAAAUCAUUAGAACGCAUCGGCCAUUGCUUCUCUCUUCUGUUGCAGAGUAGUUCCCGAUUAUAGGCCACAUCGCAAAUAAGUCCCCUGUUCAAGCAAUCGAUUUUAGGCCAUACAGUCCAGUUGGGAGGAGAGAGAUCAAGCUUAUUCAGCUCUUGUAAACUCUUAAUACCAACCCAGAUAUGCUAAUCCUCCUUUUCUUUUGUAGGAUUUGGAUCAUUGUGUAAAUUUUUAGUUGAAUCAAGCAGCUAUAUUAGAAACUAAAUCGAUUCUUUUUUUUUUGUUUUUAAAGAUUGCAGUAUGUUUUCCAGCUUAAUGAGAUGAUGUUGAUAAUGUUGUUAAUUCUCCUCUGGUGUUCUAAGCUUAGAUUUCUCUGUGAUAGGGUGUUCAUUGAAAGCUUGAAAUCAUGAUAUAUCAGUUUAUUCUUCUCUAUUGUCCAAAUGAUUUGAUUUGAUUCAAUGCCUUGAUUAAGACUUGUUUUAUCAUAAUACGUGUUCCCUGCCUUCAAUUGGUAAUGUCUAUAUGGUGGCCAAUUAGUGUGAGAUUUUCAGUUUUUGUAGCUCAUAGUCUAAGUAGAGCAUAUUUGAAUAUAUGAAUACAUCCUCUUAAAAAUAAUAUAAUAAUAAAUAAUAAUAAGUAGUUAGGUGGGUUUAUUUUAUGCUGAUCUAUUCCUGUGCUUUGUUCCUAUUCGUGCUUGUGCUUAUAUAGGAUCCCAUGUGGGCCCCACCUAUCGGACCCGGGAUAGGAGUGCUUAACUCCUUCCCUCUCCCAUCCAAGUCUUACCUGGACUAGUUUAGUCGAUGCCUCGGGCUCUGGAGUUACUAUUGAACCAAAAUGAGUUUUGAUGCGAUUCCCUCUUACAACAAAUCUUAAAACUGUGCCACUUACCAUCUUGAUUUCAUGUUAAAAUAAGUAAUCUUUAUAGGGAAGGGAUCUGCCAUUUACUUCAUUAUUAUCAGAGGUAAUGUCUUUCUCUUUCAUCAUACCUUUGUUCAUUACCAUCUCCAUUAUCAUGAUUCCUUGUCACUGUCCCCAUUUUUCAGACACCUAUUCCUUGGUUAUCACCAUUAUUGUCCUACUACAAUGGUUUUUUAAAGGAUUUCUCCAAUUCAAAGGGAAAUUUAUUACUAUCUUGGAGGAUCAAGAUGAUGCAGUGAUAGAAGGAACUACAUUGACUGUAUACCUUCCUACUAUUGGACCUCUUGCCUCUAAGUGGACAUUAAUUGAUAAGCUUGAUCAUUUAUCUCAUUGGUGUGACGAAUGCAGAAAGGAGUUGAGUGGUUUUCAUAAUAUAGGGGGAACUUAGGUUCACAAAAGGUCACAAUUCUUCAAUCCAACCAUCAUUUUGAGGAUUCUGACUCUCAAUCAUUUCAACUCUUCGAUCACUACAUUCAUGUUGGAGAAACUCAUUAGGGGACUGCAUUAUAAAAUAAAAGUGACAUUUAUACAUUAAAGGAUAUUGGGAAUGGCUAGAAUAUGCUCUUAGUCGAAACCACAAUGUGCUUGAGAAGGCUAAUAUUUACAAUGCUAUUUAUGCUUCUCUUUUCACAUAUGACCACAAUCCUAAUGAUCAUAUGUGCCUUUUGUGAAUCACGGUGCUCUACCACAAACACCCAUCACACUCCUUUAGGAGAGUUAUCCAUUUCACUUUGGGAUUUGCAUAUGAUUGGUGAACUUCCCAUUAGGGGUUAUUUUUAUGAUUAGGUGGUUCUUAGGGGAGGUCUUGAUUCCUUAAGAGUUGUAAGUACUUUUUCCUUGCAUUUCAUCAUCUAAAAGAGAAAGCCGGUGGUGAAUAUGUUGUGAGCAUAACAAAUUGGGUGAAGUAUGGGUUUAAGGGUCCGUUUAGGUAUAGAAAGCCACCCUCCAGGAAUGCAAAGAGAGAAAGGUAGGCAGAGAUAACCUAUAAUCUCUUGGGAAAAAUGACCCUCCCUCCAAACGAUCAUCGGAGGAAGAAUAAGUCUUUGACGAUUUAAGGGUUGAUGACGAGAUCAAAGAGGAGGUCUAUUUAGUUGCAUUCCUUUCUUGUUGGUUAUAUUCAUUUAUUCUUCCUCACAAUGAUGCCUUUUGUUCGACUAGGGAUAUUCAACACUGCUGGCAUGAUGUUGUGUGGCACCCAUUUUUCCUUUUUGUUCAUGUUCUUUCUAGUAUUUAUAGAGGAAUGAAUAAAGUUACCUCCUCUAUAGACCCAGGUGGAUGUAGAGCUGCUUUUCCUAUUCAUUAUGUGUAUAAAUAGUUGGAGAGUACUUUAGGGCCUACUAUGAGUCUCCUUAUUCAAGCACCCCUCAUAUGACUAAAUUUGCUGGGGAAGGGAUGGCAAAACAUUUUAAUGAAUUGGAUGCACGUGCCUUAUUUAGACUUGACAAAUACAUUGCUUGGCAUUGCACAAAGAUAAUCAAUAGCUUCAUGGGUAUUAUCUUGAAUACUUGAUUAGUCUCAAGUCAAGUUAUCUCACCUUCUGGUGUAAGAACUCAUACGUAGUAGAGCCAUAUAGUCCUCAUAGGUUUACCAAAUAAUUUGGGUACACUCAAGAUGUUCCCAAAAAGAUUAUUGAGGAUUUGUGCUCAUGUGACUUGAAACAAGCACUUGGGCUCUAGGGGUCUUACCUUAAAUAUAAUAUGAAGGAGGUGAUAGUUGUUGCAUGCUCUUACCUUAAGGAGGGUCCUCUCACUAUGAGGUACUAUUGCAAAUGGUGGCUUAACAAAACCCCGUGAUUACUUUGCCCUAAGAGUUUAGACCCUUUCUGAGAGUGUCGACCCUAAUUUUUGACUUCCUUAACAAUUUUGACUACAAAAAGGCUAGAAUUUGCAAGCCUAAUUCCAAAUAAGGAAAUUUCAUUAGAAAUGAGGCUAAUGAGAGUGCCAAUGAAACACAUAUUACAAAUAGGGAUGGUCAACAAACUCCACUUCAUUUCCCAUGACAGGCAUUGAUCUGAACUUGCUAAUGAUAAGAGGGAUGUCAUUGGAGCGAUAGAUGAUAAUAUGGAAUACAUAGCAUAUUUUAAUGAAUUGGAUGAUGGUAAUGAUGGGGAUCAAGACAGAUGUUAGAAAUGCUUUAAGUGUGGUCCUAGGGCGUCACUUGAUAAAAGAGAAAGUGCUACCAUUGAAAGACUUAUAAAACCUAAGGAAGUUCCUAACACUACAAGAAAAUAGGCCUAUAGCUACAGCCAAAUCCGUAGCUAUAGGUCUAUAGCUACGGGCUGGCUACGGUCAAGAAACAGUAGCUACAGUCGCGGUGGCUAUAGGCAAUAGCUACGGCUGAACGAAUCUGUAGCUAGAACUAACCUAUAACUACGGUUUGUCUGUGGCUAAAGCCUAAUCUAAAUAAUUAUAUAUGCAUUUGUAGCUAUGGUUUUUAAGUUAUCCGUAGCUACAAACUGACUUUCUAGCUACAGUUUGUGAUGUCCGUAGCUACAAAAUUUGGAUUUAUAGCUAUGAUUUAAAUAGUCGUAGCAAAAGAAUAUCAAUCUAUAACUAUGGAUAUUAACUGACCGUAGCUAAAAAAAAUUAACCUAUAGCUACGGUUCAUGUUGUCAGUAGCAAAAGAACAACAAUCUAUAGCUACGGAUGUGAAUUGUUGGUAGCUAGAAAAAAUAAAUCUAUAGCUACGGUUUACAUUGACUGUAGCUAAAAAUAUAAACCUAUAACUACUCUUUGGUUAAUGACUAGAUCCUAAAAUUUUUUCAUUAUUUUUUGAAGCCUUGUUUCCUGUAUUGAAUACAAGCACAACUAAUUCAUAAUAUAAGAUGAAACUUGAAUUUAAAAUUUCAUUAAAAGAUUAUAUAAUAAACAAAUGAAUUAUAUCUCAAGGUGCUUUAACAUCCAUGUGCUUGCUACAAAUUCAAGGUUCUUGAAUACAUGAAACUCAAACCAAAAAAAAAAACUUGGUGUGUAAAAUUUGAUCAAAUGUCUCUGCGAAGUAUCCUCCUUUACCAUGUUCAACCUAUAAGAAAAUAAUAGAAAAUAAGUUAGAAAUCACAUUUUUGGGGAUAUAAAAUCAUGUAUGAAAAUUUAAUUAAUUAUGCAAUAUAAACUUGCCUACUUUACAAGCCUAAUGUUAAACAAAUGACAAAUGUAAGGAUUGAGAUCAAAAUUGAGACGAGGCUUAGGAUUUUUUUUUUUGCAAUUAUGCAUAUCUAAGAACAUGACUGUAAAAAUACCUUGGGGGUGAGGGCUCCAAGCCAUAAAUCACUAUAAUGCAAAAUGGAUAUACUGCUUAUAUAAUUACAAGAAUUUAUGGGUCAAGCCUUCAAGAUAUCAUAAUGUGUCAAAAUAAAUUCACUCCACCCAAGUAGUACGAGUUUCUUUUGAUCAAGGCAAGUAGCUUUGAAGAAAGCCAGUGGAGAUUUUCUAACCGGAGAACUCAAAUUUUCAUCAUAGAACAGUUCUUCCAGUUGUCCCUAGGUUCCACCCUCUUCCCUUUUCUAUCUGGUUUUUCUUUUGUUGCACUUCCUUAGGACCCCUGGGAGCUUUUUUUCUUUUUUCUUUUUUUUUAUAGGCAAAGAGACAAGCUCAUUUUAAUAUUGAUACAGCAAAGCACCAUUAUUGCAGCACUUAUCUUACACAUUUGAAUGUUUCGUCAAUGACUACACGGUCCAUAGCCUUCAGUUGCCACACAAACAACUUCUGGUUGGUAAGAGAAGAAAAUUCAUCUUGUGAAUUGGGACCAAGUUUGCUUACCUAGAAAGGAAGGGGGUCUAGAGGAAGCUGAAGGUGAUAAAUACUGCCUUGCUUAGCAAGUGGUGCUGGAGAUUUGCUACUGAAAGAACCUCCUAGUGGAGGAGUUCAAAGUGGGCAGAGAUGACAAGGUUAAAUUUUGGAGGGACCCCUGGUGUCUGAACAUGCCCUAGUUGAACCCAAAUCUGCCAUUGCAGUUAUCAACAACCAAAGAGGUUAGCAAUUGCUCUUUAGAUCAGACUAGAUGGUCUGACCUCUAGAACCAGAAAGCACAAGUAGAAUGGUUUUUUUUUUUUAUUGUUUCUCAGUUCUUAUAAAUGUCAACUUGUUCAAGUUUAAUUCCUCAUUUGCAUUGGGAUCACAUGUGUCAUAUACCCUUCAACAUUUAUUGGUUUUAGUUUAUUUUGAUAUAAAUUGUUUUUUUACUUUUCAUAUUUUUCACAUUUUUAUUUGAGCAAGUUGAAUAGUCGUUUUUUUUUGAAAAAAAGUUAACUGAUUUCAUUAAUAAAAGAGAGGGUACACAAGUGGGUGUACAAAGAAAAAAAAAAAAAGAAAAAGAAAAACAAGGAUCAGACCCCUAAUAACUCCUCUAACACCUUAGGCCCCUGGAUCGCCUAAGUAAUGUUGACAACAAGGCACUAGGCUGCCAUUCUACAAACAUAUCACCUGAAAGCUUGAACUAUACAAAUCACUUAAGAUUCCUAUUGUACAUUUUCCCUCAUUAAGCAAGUAUCCAGGUCUCAUACUCUUAUUCAGAAACAAUCAUUUCAUUUAGCAUUUGUUUUAGUCUUGGCCCACAUAACCUGUUGCACUGGUAGCCCUUGCUUAAUUCUAACCAAUUGUCAUUUGUUCAAGCUAAUUAUUGAACUUUAUCUUUGCUGGAGAUUAGCUAUAUUAUUUCCUUCCUCUGUAAAUGUACAUCCAAUCUGCAAUAUCUUAAUCAGUUGGUAUUCUGCCCAAGUGCUUUAUAACCAUUUUGGUGCGCAUGAAGUUUCCAAUUUUCAGCAGGUUAAGGAGAAACCAUUUUUCUUGUGGAUGAGAAUAUGGAUAUACAAGGGCCAGUUUCAAAGGUGUUUGUAUAAUGUGGCUCAAUUUUUUAACUAGACUCCAUGGGGUGUUUUGCCAGAUCAUGCAUGCAUUAAGAGUAGUUCACUUUUGCAGAUUAGACUAGACCACUCUUGCUAAGUCUAGGCCACUAUAGGUUUUAUAGUUUCAUGCUAGCCUGAAAUUCACACACCCAUGAUGGWGAUGAUAACUGAUAAGAUGGAUGAGUGGGAAAAACAAGAAAUGAUAAAAAUACAAACAAAAUGAAUAAAUAAUGCAUCCAAAAGAACCUUGGCUGGCCCCAAACUGCAACAAGAUAAGGAAAACUAAUUUAGAACAAUGGCCACAUGGAUCAGGAAUAAAAAUGAUGAAAUGUUAACUUGCUGAGAUUGAUCAAACUUGUCACAAUUGAAAUAAACUUAAUGUUUUACCAAAUACUUGUGCCACUACCAAAAUCCACUGUCUAAUCCCCAUCCAGAUUUGUCCCCACAAGCCUGCUCAUACCCACAACAACGGGAAACAUUAAUGAUGUACCAGACGUGUGGUCAUAAAUGUGAUUGAUUGUUGGUGUUGGAACCUCAAGACGGGGGGCUAGCAAGGCAGUGGUCCCUUGGCUUCAAUCAGCUAUGCUGGUGUAAUAGUUGCAUAGGGUGAUGAAAUGUCCCUUGUCCUGGCUCCUAGAGGCAUUGACAUACCCAGAAAGGAUACUUGGCCUUGCAUUGCUUACACCCAUUCAUAAUUAGACAACCAAAUUUUUUACUCUAUCAAAGUUCAAUCGGAAUAUAUGGGGAUUUGUUUUUUGUUCUUAAAGAGGAAGAAUUGAGACAAGUUUGGGUAGAAUGGAAUUUUGAUGUCACAACCCAAUCUCAGAAGGUGCCAUGAGUGUGACAGACCAACCACAUUGACAGGAAAGGAUUCAAAAAAGGCCCAUUUGUUUGCAACAGAGAGCAUAUAAGAUUUAACCUGCAACUCAACAGAUUUGAACCUGUCCCAUGGAGGAUUUAUUUUCCAUUAAGGAACUAGCAUUGUCUUGGGAACUUGUGUUUAUGUCAUGCUGUCAAAACCAGUAAAGUUAAUCUUAUUCACUUCUUUCUUCUCCAUGCAGGCUGGUUUGGUCAGAGAAAAAUCAUUUGGUACAACAAAAGAUCGGAUGCUUUAUAUUGAGAAAUGUGGGUCUGCCCUUGGCUCAUAUUGUUUACAUUAACCAUGAAUUAGCUUAGCAUUUGCAAGUGAAGGCUUCACAACUUAUGCUUGUUGAUGAGAUUAUCUAGACUGAAUAGAUGACAAAAGGAAAACAAAGCUGGGAUUGUGGAAAGAUGUCCAAGGAUCUAAAGGAUCUUAAGAUAAGUAGAACUAAAGCAGAAUACCUGUAAUGCAAAUUUAGUAACAAAAUAUGUGAAAGUGAGGGCAUUAGAAUUCAAGACCAAAUGAUAACAAUGAAUUAACUCUAGGAUGUAAAGGCCACCACUGUAUUUAAAGAAGGGAUAUGAUGGAGUGUAGAUAGGAACCUCACAUUCCCAAGGACUAAGAGGAAUUCUUGGCAGGUGCGGCUCAAAAGUGAGAAUUUGCUGGCUGUAUGCCAAAGACUUAGAUUGAGGAAAGCCAUAACUAUUGAGGAAAGCCAUAACUAUAUAAGGAAAACCGUAGGGGCUUCAUAAUUGAAAGGGACUUGGCAGUACUGACAUAUUGUGUGCAAAAGGUGAGGGCCCUAGCUAGGAACUAUCAUUGUGAAAAAAUGACAGUCUAGGGACUUUGAUCUCCAUUGAAAGGAAAGCUUUGCUCUUGGUUGGCACUUGUCAGAACCCAAAGAGUUCAGAGAUAUAGCUUAUAAUAGAUUUUUGUCUUUGUGUUCACAUGUCAAAACCCUUGUUUUGGUAGAAUUAACAGCAGAACUCUGUAUCCACAAAUUUCUACAGAAAUACCAUAUUUUACCUUUUCAAAACAGGGAAAAUAAUUCUAAUAAGUCUAUGUUCACAAAGUUUGAAUAGCUUGAUGGUUUAUCCCUAUUGUAAAUAUAUAACAGGGAUUAUGUGUAACCGAAGAGUUGAUGGACUGAUGCCAAGUCCAUCAGUCCCAGUGUAUGUGUAUGUGUAACUGCAGAUUAUGGACACAAAGUCUAUGUCCACAAAGCUUGAAGGAUUAUCCCUGUGUCCACAUGUAUAAUAGGAAAUAAUUAUGCUACCUCUGUGUUCACAAAGUCUGAUGCCAAGGAUUAUCCCUGUCAGAAAAAAAGAUAACUAAUUAUGUUUUCAGAUACCAAUGAAUUUGUUCUGUUACCAAUUAAGAAAGAGGAGUGAAACUGCUACUAGGUGUUUCAAUGUCCAACAUUUGCACUUAAUCCAUAUUUACAAUCAAUAAUUAAAUUAUGAGCAACAAGCUCAAUAAGGGAAAUGAAAGAAUGAUCCCUAAAUAAAGAACAAGAAGUCAUGCAAGAACAAGAAAAGUGUAAUAAUUUUCAAAUGGAUAGAGAUGUAUACAGUAAACAAGUUAAGAAAGAAAGAAGAAAAGGAAGACUCACAUCAUGUUGAGCAAGAUCAAGGCGAUUCCGCAACACCGGUAGAACAAGUUUAGUUUGUUUACCCUUUUUUGCAGCCUCCUCAAUUUUCUACACAUAUAAAAGCAAAACAAUAGACAUGAAAAUUAACUACAUCAAAUAGAAAGGCUCAAAUAACUAACAGAUUACUUUGUAUUUAAAAUACAAGAUUUAAGAGGCAUGAUAAUGAUGCAAGUGGGAUAAAGUAAGAAAACUUCUUCUUGAUUCAAAUUCCCUGAUUUUUUAUAUACAACUCUUCAGAUUACCUCACUAGUCAACUGAAUACGAGGAUGAUGUUUCCUCUCAGACCACCCAAUAUGUCCUUUCUGUAAUGGAGGGUGUCAAUCCUGAAUUUUCCAUUGUCUCUGAACAAAGGACCUGAUCCUAAUACCAUUGAGAAUACUGAAGUUUUAAGCUUUUAUCUCUAAUAAAUGCUUAUUUUCUUGUUGGAAACCUGCAUCUCUGAGUUGGGAUGAUUAUCUACUAUUUGACUCACAUAUCACUUUGCUACUGCUAUUAUACAAAGUGGUCUAUGAUAAUUGAUGAGAGACAAGAAUUGUUUGUAAUUACCCUCUUAACAAAAUAAUUCUGUCCCCCAAAAUAGAGAAUAGAAAGAAAGCAAAGGAAAAAAAGAAUAUUGGCAGUAAGUAGCAGGAUAAAACUCUUAGGAGCUGUUUGAUAACUGUUGGUUUGGCUGAACUGAAAUCAGCUUUUUUAUAGUAAAUUUAACAGUCAUUUAAUGGAAUAUUUAGGAGUAAUAAUGUUACCCCAUCAAACCAUUAAGCAGGUAAGGAGAUCACUACUACUUUAGUGUUUAUACAUUGACUAAAAGACAGACCAAUGAAAGUACAAGCCAAUAAGUCAAGCUUUGGGUAUUUUCUUCUUUUUCAUUCCUUAUAAAUACUGAUUGAAAAAUGUGUCAGAGUGAGGGUCAUCGUCAAAUACUGACAAGAGAGCUAGAAGCUGUGGGCCUAUGUUUGAACAAGAAGCCUCCUCAAGUAAGACUAUUCUUUCAAGCAUGUUUAUGACUGUAAAUUAUAAAAAAUAAAGGAUGUCUAUAGCUUUCAGCAUUCUCAUUUAUAUGCUUUUAUAACUGUGUAUGUUUAUACUUGUAUAUUCCUGCAGAUAUCUCCUUAACAUUGUUUGCAGGCAUCUGCAUAUGAGCACCCGUUAACCAUUGCCGGUUAUCCAGUUUUUUAAUCCAUGUGUCUAGGGAAAGUAUAAAACUAUUUAAGGAUACAUCUGUCAAUUUACGUGAUGCACUUGGUUCAUACCUAGACUUCCAUCUAUUGCUAGAUCAUCUAUUGCCUACA